rnacentral:pre_miRNA from 1 species
AACCCGUAGAUCCGAUCUUGUGGCAAAUAUGACAGCACAAGUUCGCUUCUGCAGGUCUC